GAGAUGGAAAAAAACUUUGACUUCAGCAAGCGCCGAAUCAGGGCGCUGGAUUCUAGCAAUGCUAUUGAGGAGCCUUUGGCAGGUGGCGCAGAGAAAGUCAGCUCCAAGCUGCUUCCUGUCCAUUUUCCAGCUAUAGGAGAAGGGUCCUUCCUGCCCAAGGAGAGUGGUCCCGUCUUCUAAAGAGCAAGGAGCUCUCUGAGGUGGAGGAGGCAUGUGAAGACUUCCCAGAACACUGCACACGCCUGACUGAGAGGUACUUUUUAAGGUCAUUCAAACUGUCAUCUACACAUGAAUAACAAUGAAAUUCUCAUAAAGAAGCAGAAAUACCCAGGAGGCAUGAAGAGUCAUCAUACUUCAAAAGUGCAUGUAUUAGUACUUCAUGACCUCAGGAAAAGUAGACCCCAUAAUUCUUAAAAGCUCAACCUUGGAGAGGAGAAACAUGAUGUUUGAUGACAUAGCACUGAAAUAUCCUUGGAGCUUGAGAUGUCGAGAGCCAUCAAAAUGUUCUCAAGAAUUAAAUUGAAAAAUGUUGCUUCAAAAUGUCUUAGCCAACCAAAUACAAACAUUUUUGUCAUUGUGACAAAAAAAAAGCUCGCCAAUUGCCUUUGCUAGUCUCAGCACAGCCCAAGAGGAGCAUCCUUCAUGAGCCAACUGAAAAACAGUGUGUAGUCUAUGCUUCUGACCAGAUGGGCAUCUCUUGUCACCAUAACAUUAUGUAUUAGGACUUCAUGUAUUAUGUAUUAUGUCAACACUUUAUUCAUUAUGCUGAUCAUACUCUGUAUUUCACUUGCUCUGGUUAUUUGUAAAGCUUUUCCUAUUUCAUCAUUAGAUUAUCCUUAAAUUUUAGCAACUGCAUUUUAGUCACUCUGUAAUCUUAAUAGUGCCUGCCCAAGUGACAUAUUAAUAAGCAUUUUUUCUGAAUCAGUAACCACCCCCAAAAAAACCUGCAGCCAUAGUUGUAAAUACUGUACAUUCCAAAGAAAAGUGGAAAUGAAUGAAGGACCAAUUUUGAGGAAGAAUUAGAGUUCUCAAAAAUUCAACAAGUAUAAUCAAUAAGUUUUUUAAAAUUUAACAAAUUCAACAAGUAUGUCAACAAGUAUUCAAAAAGUUAGAGUUAUAAACAUUUGUUCAAAAUUUUACACAUGGUUAAUACCUUCAGAGCAGUUAGCAGCAAGAUUCUCAUUUUUAAACCUUUACCCCUUUGUUCAUUUUAAGGCAAGAUGGAGACCUUGUUGAUGUCAGAACAAUUGGUCCAGGGGUGUGUGAGGAGCCACUAUGAAGGGAGAAACAGGGAAAUGUGGACCCAAGCAGCAUAGUGUUCCCCAGAAAGUUGGGUUGGACACAAGGGUGUACAUGCAGGAAAAAGUAAUACCAAGAAGAUGUGUUAAUCUAAACAAUGCUGUAAGCAAAUGAGACACAGUUCUCCAGGGGACACUCUGAGAAACUAUGCAGAAUACGCUUCAAAAUUGUCCACCAGAAGGACAAAUGAGAGAAGGGAUGAUCCAUUGGCUCUCUUCUACCACUGGUCAUGUUGGCCCGGAAGGUGUUCACGACCUUGGACUUCAAAGAGUGCACCUGCUUCAGAAUGGCUGAGUAGUUUGCAGAAGGCAUCUUAACAGAUGGUAACAGAGAAGCAAGAGAUAAGCGCUGCAGCUGAUGCAAGGUGCUGGCAGUGACACUAUCACAAAGCUGGUUGCUGUAAAAAUGUGGCCAAGAGGAUGUGAGCUACAACACAAGAGGGGUUCGACAUCAAUUCUCAGAAGCACAUGAGUCUGAUGCAAAUCUAUUGUUCUUGAAAUAAUGAGCACAGGACCAUAUUCAUCCCUUCUGGAUGAUAAGUGAGUCACUUGAAACAAUUAUUUUGAUAAUUAUCAAUUAUCCAUUUCAUUUUAAUGCAUUUUUUAUUCUUCUUUCAAUAAUAGCAACAAUUACAACAGUUAAACCUUAUCUACAUAAUUCAGACAAAAGUCAGCAUUGUAGUUUCCUCCUAAUUAAAUAGAUAUUUAAUGCUAGUUUUCCAUUGCAUGAAAAUUAAAACAGAAAAGCCUUUAGAAUCUUAUUGCUUCCUCUUAUUUAAAAACAUUUAAUAUUUCUAUGAUUUAUUCAUGUUGUGGCAUGUAUCAGUACUUUAAUCCUUUUUAUAGCUAAUAUUCUAUUUUAUGGAUAUACCACAUUUUGUUUGUUCAUUCAUUAAUUGAUGGGCAUUUGGGUUGUUUCCCUUUUUUGACUAUUCUGAAUAAAGCUGCUAUGAACACUCAUAUAGAAA